UACGUAGGGUGCGAGCGUUGUCCGGAAUUAUUGGGCGUAAAGAGCUUGUAGGCGGUUUGUCGCGUCUGCUGUGAAAAUCCGGGGCUCAACCCCGGACUUGCAGUGGGUACGGGCAGACUAGAGUGUGGUAGGGGAGACUGGAAUUCCUAGUGUAGCGGUGAAAUGCGCAGAUAUCAGGAGGAACACCGAUGGCGAAGGCAGGUCUCUGGGCCACUACUGACGCUGAGAAGCGAAAGCAUGGGGAGCGAACAGG
rnacentral:rRNA from 1 species